CUGCUGCCACUUGUAGGUUUGGCCACUUCUUGUCAUGCAGUUCCUUAUAAAUCACGUACAUGUUAUAAAACUGGAUUGCUAAACGCCUGGUUAACUCAUCCAAGUCAAAGUCCCUGCAUGUUUGAUUCACUCUCCGAACAAAGACUGAUUUUCCUAUGAAAACAAACCACUACAUGCUUCUCUUUGCCCCUUAGGCAGGAGGAUUUCUGGAGGUGUGGUGGGUUUUGUUUGGUUGGUUUUUUUCCUCCUUAACAUAUUUUAUUGGAGAAACCAUUUUAAGACUCAAAUUAAAAUAAAAACUGAUUAGGAGCCUGUGUUCUUUAUGGGGCAAAUUUGGAAACAGUUGUAUUUAAAUCAAACAGCCCCAUUUUGCCUUGGCAAGCUGUCAAAGGGCUGUACCCCAGAAAACCAGCCAGCACCCAGCGAGUCUGUCUUUGGCUGUCCCGACGCUCGCCAGGCAGCAGAGAAAUGCAGCAACACGGUCACCAAGUUAAAGCUGCUGGAAAUCCUGCUGCCUGCCCGGUGUGGCUGCAGCAGGAGCUGAGACCUCGAUACCAGGAUGCAGAGAGCAGGCUGAGCACCACAUAAAGGCAGGAAGCGGCCAGCCCUCCGUGCGAGCAUCACCUGGCUGGCACCAAACAAACCCCCUUUGGGAAAAACUCCCCAAAAUCAUUAUAGCGGAGACCUUCAACAGAGGAGCAAAAUAAGUCCUUGGCAGCGCAUUACAGUGCUGCAGUACAUGAAGCUCCUGCACCCACAAAACCCCAGCCAUGGAUGUGUCUGUCCCCCCGUGUCCUGAGCCACUGCCACCUCCUCAGGCCUGGGAAGCUGCUCAGCUAACAAGGAGGGAGACUCGGCUCCCACAGCCCCACUAACCCAGCAAGUGUCUGACAAGGCCGCGCUUAAUUAAAACAAAUCCCCACAUGGUUUGAAAACAGUGGUGUGUUUUGAUUGUUUUCUUUAAUUACAGUGCAUUGCCCAUCAGACUAAUAUUUGUAAUGAACUGUACAAUACCAUGGGCACCCUGGGGGAAUCCAUCUCGUUCCCUGGGUAACCCUGCACGUGUGUGAAGGACCAGAACCUGCCCAGAAAAACAAGCAGCACCCACACACUGCGGUGAUGCCUGUGGAGGGUUCAGGUGUCGUGGGACUGACAGAACCCGUGGGAGCUGGUCUGGCACCGUGUGUCCCUGCUGUGGCCAGGGGACCGAGGACACAGCUCCAUACCAGGGGGUCUGGGCAGGGAUCCCUGGCUCCAUCCCAGCCCCAGCGCUGCAGCCAAAUUCCUGCUGCUGCAACUAUGUACGGAAGAUAAAACCAGCAGCUUCCCCAUGGCCAGGGAGCCCUGUGGGUUCACCGUUUUGCAUUUCACACGUGAGCUGCGCCCACAGCAGAGCUGGGGCUGCCGGCAGCCCCGGGCACGGCCCCAGGCGCUGGGUCGGGUCAGGAGCAGGACACGCUCCCCUCAGCACACCACCUCCAUCCACCCAUGGAAGCAAGCCUGGGAAGGGGCGCUUGAAGCCAACACGCCUCAACUGCGGCAAAUCCGUAGCACAAAAUACAAGCUCCAUCAUGGUUUUAAUGCUCAUCUCCUCCCUAGAGAGAAGGUGUGAACACAGCCAUAUUUUAGCCCUAAUUAAACCAAUCCAGCAUAUGCAGCAACAAUGGUGACCUGGGGGACGGGGCGGUGGGCGCCGGCACACGCUGUUCCGCAGGAACAAUGACAUUCAGGAUGGAGUGGGAAGCACCGCGCUCGCACGGGGGCUGGAACCGUGCGGCACAGACGCUCCACGCCUGGCGGGGAGACAGCUGGGCCUCCCCCGGCUCCGAACACGGCGGGAUGACUCAGCCGCCCCCGCGCAGAGUGGCAGCAGCGGCACAGGGGGCGAACCCUGCGGCGGGGAGGGCGACGUGUCCCCGUCACACACCUCCGCUCCUCGGCCGGGUGAGGACCGCUGGCCCUGGGGCUCCCAGCAGCGCCCCGGGGCGUGGGGAUGCUCUUGGCAGGCAGUGCCACGAGGCACCGCCGCUUGGCAGGGGACGCCGCUUCCCCAGCAAGAAGAGACACGAAGUUGUUGACACAUUUCUUCCUGUUCCCAUUCAAAACUACAUCGCAAGUGGUGCUGCGAGAAAGUCACGUGCUGGAUUUAACAGAUUUCUU